GCCCGUGGCUUUCAUCUAGGGGAAGAACGUCUUUGUUGUUUUUUGCCAUUCUCAUCCCAGUGGUCUUAUCAGCCGAAUCAGACAAAUUUUACUUGUGAACUUCUGCGAUUAGUAGUUUGUCUGCUAAGUCCACAGAAGCUUAUGAAUUCUCUGCGCCCCCUCCACUCGCCUCCGGCAAUAUCCAGUGUCCGAGCGGAAACGUCAACCUGGUUUUAAAGUUUCAGCAGGGCCUCUGGUGAGGUAUCUACACUGGCGCUUUGAAGCAGGACGCUGUUCAAAACAUUCAACUUCCAAGGUGCUUCCAGGAGUUCACACAACCAAGCACAGCACCAAUAGUCCCGGAGUGUCAUCUACGUUGUGCUGAAUCAAUUUUUGGAGAAUCCGUAGGUUCCUCAGGUUUGAUUUAGCAGUUUAAAACUUUGUCUACUUCAACUGCAAUUAAUGUUCUGUCUAAACUGGAAGUCAGAAGCAGAAAAAGUCAAAGAUGGCGCCGCCCAAGUUUGGCUCAGGAAACUUGUCUAUACUUCAGGGCCGGCCCAGCCUAUAUGCAGACUAUGCAGCUGCUUAGGGCCCCUGACCGCUAGGGGGCCCCCAAUCUGGCAAUUGUUUAAUUUAUAUUCUAUUUUGUUUACUACAGUUUGCUUUAUUUGACUUUUGUGAGUUUUGAUACUUGAUUACAAGCGCAAAAAAAACUAAAAGUUCUUCCUUCUUUCUUUUCCUCUUGUAGAAAAAGGUUUGGCACUAUCUACUGUAAGUACUGACAAUCAUUUGGAGUGAGAAGUUUAAAGUACGCAGUGCAACAAAAUCUGAUUAACAUACAAAAUAUGGACGUAUAGGUUGGAUUGCAUGUAUGGGUUUCACAGUACACUGUGACGAAAUGGUGGGCCAAAAAUAUGGGCCCCUUGGCAUUAUUUUGCUUAGGGCCCCCAAAUGGCCUGGGCCGGCCCUGCUAUACUUGUCUGUGGUUUGAAAAUGUCUCAUUUUCAAAACCGCAAAAAAAUUUCUGUUAUACCGUCCCUACGGUAUUAGCUACUUUAUAUGUCCCAAAAAUGCAUGAAGAGAUCCCUCGCUUGCAGCUGCAAGGCUCAACCACCCCACCUGUUGUUGCCACACGAUGGCUAGAGGAGGUGAAACUCCUGAACCUUUUCCCCCCAUCGAAUAAAACGAAAUCGGUAUGGGAAUACUUCGGCUACAGAAAAGUUACAGAAGGCCGCGGCUUAGAGGAGGAGGGCCGUCCGACGUGUAAAACAUGUUUGUGGAGGGUGGCUGCCGAGGAGGCAAAACUUCCGUUAUGAUUUCGCAUUUAUAUAAAAUUACAGUAAACACUGUCAUGAAAGUUUCCCACCAGGUACGAGAGUUAACUCCAGCGUGUUUAGUGUGUCUAGCAUUGGUAAAAUGUUUGUUUCUCUCUGGCAACUGUCUGUGUUGAGAAAGAAUGAGUGUAUAAUGUAAACAUGAUACGAGUCAUAUACAUUACUUUAACGUUUUUUUUAAACCCAGAUAUCUCAAAGUAACACAUUUUAGAGCUUUAGUGGCAAUACUGUGAAACAGUGAUAUUAUGGCAUAGCGUUAUCAUACUGUCAGCAUCACAUACCGGCACAUGCCUACUUGCACACAAAUGUCAAGAAAGUAAAUAUAUUCUUUUUGCUCUCUAACUGGGUGGGAGCAUUAUCAUUGUUUCAAGCCCACUUCACAAGUUCACGCCUGUGUCUGUCAGUCCUGGUGGACUGAAUCGGGCCAUGAUGGGUUCAUUAAAAUCGCCAAGACUGCAGACAUUGGGUGGAGUGAUUAGUGUGAUAAGCAGGCGAUAUGAGCUUAAUGGAAGGAGAGGUGGUUCACCAAGAUUAAAAGCCUUUUCCACAUCACUGCCAUUUUCCCUCCAAUUCAGCAAAUCACUUAAUUGAAUUUCUUUUAAUUUUCUUUUUUAAUUUUCUCAACAAAACUCCUCCUCGAAUUGCAAGCCCAAGAUGAAUGGUGAGAGGCAUUUUAUCAACUGUUGGGCCACAGCCUGAAAAUCCAGGGACCUUUUGUGUCACGACUGCCUGUAAAAUGAAAGUGCUCCAAAUUUUUAAUGACUCAUAAUCAUCACACUGAUACAGCGGUAUGAAAGAGUUUGAUAACCCUUUACAAUUUUGGUUAUUUUCAUUUAUGAAAGAAAAUAAUUGUCAGGGGUGCUCAAACUUAUUCAUCCCACUGUAUUAAUAGAAAAAGGAAAUACUGGAUGAAAGGUGUAAUCUUGUAGGUUGCUGUUUGAGUGCUGCCUUGGGAAGUCAAAGUACAAUUAAUGCCUCUUUUUGUUUAGUUUUUUAAUUUAUCACCUAUGUGGACACCAGGUCCUUAUGAGUUUUUUAUUUUAUUUUAUUAUUAUUAUUUUUUUUAAAAAACUACCCAAAAUAGGCACUUGCCCUAAAAAACGGUUAAAAUUCCAGUGUCACCCUUGGGUGUACUUUACUGAAUCCAAUAGAUUGGACUUCAUUGAGCUACAACCGCUUUUGUUUUUCGUGAAAUAACCCCCCCAAAAGCACAAAACACUGUUUUAAUCCCAUUUCGCUGUUGGCCAGGAAGCAAGUCAGUAACUAGAAGUGAUGUAAGCAAAGGCAGGUUUUCUCGCACGCAGCGUCCUAAUCCGUUUUGUUUCAUUGCUUUGCCGGCCAGCGUUCUUUGUUUUUACAAGAAAUUAUUUUUUCUUGGAAAAAUGGUUUAAUGGUAAAAAUGAUUGUGGACGGAACAAUUGUUAAUAUGAAUUGUGUGGGAAAUUGCCCCAAACACGAACACUGCCUAUGUAAGCAUCUAUUUUUUUCUGUCCGACCAGGUGGUGAGUUGAGUGGUUUGAGCACAUAGAAAUGAGCCAGCUGAGUGUGGAGAUUUCAGUGAACGCUAAUCUGUCAGGAGGUGGAAAGCUGGCGUCAGGUGCAGUGAUGGUGGGCCCUCUAGGGUCUCUGUAUUGCCCGGAUUGGUCCUGUCCUAUGUUGGGAAUAUGGCCGGCUCAGGGAGAUUUGUCUUCGUGAGGCACACUGAUGGGAUAUGUGCUACGUAGUGGCACUGAUGAGGACUCAGGUGGUACAAUAUUAUUUCUGCUGAAGGCUCCUCUACUUCAUCACAAAGCCAAGCACAGCAAAAAGAUGGUGGUCUUGAUAGAGGGUUUGGACUUCCAGGGCAUGGAUCUUGUUAAUGAACAGAUACUGGUGCAAAAUUUAUUUGCAUAAUAUUUUUAUGAAAUACCCUGUGACAUGAAAAGUUAGAUUAUGAAAGAGGUGACCAAGGCAAAUAUGUCAAUUGUGUUAAAUCAGAAGAGCCGCAUCUUUUCAUUACAGACUUCCACACCAUUUGGCACCAGUUAAAUAUAUUAUCCCACUAACUAAUAAGAAUUAGUGAGUUUCUCCAGUUAUGAAAUAUAUUAAAAAUAAUCGACAUUGUUAAAAAAAAAAACAAAAAAAAAUCGAAACAAAUACAUAAUGCAACCC